rnacentral:rRNA from 1 species
AUGGAUCGCUCGCCUGCCAAGUUCGUCUUGCUCCUCAUGGCAGCGGCAACCUGGAGCUGCUUCCUCGUCGCCGACGCAGGCAAGCUCCAGCCGAGCUGCAUAGGGCGCGAGAGGGACGCCUUGCUGGCCUUCAAGCAAGGCAUCCGUCACGACCACUACGACAACCACCUCGGGUCGUGGCAACAAGAGCGCCAAGAUUGCUGCCAAUGGGAAGGCAUCACCUGCGACAACGUAACUGGCCAUGUCGUCAAGCUUGACCUUGGCGGAAGAUAUGAUUUGGUCGGCCAGAUAAGUCCUUCCUUGCUUUCUCUAGAGCAUCUCGAGUACCUCAAUCUCAACUGGACGGGACUGUGUGGGCCUGAUGGUGGUGUUCCAGAGUUCUUGGGUUCCUUAAAGAACUUGAGGCAUCUUGAUCUGUCCGGCAUGCCUUUCUCCGGUAUGGCGCCUCCUCAGCUUGGCAACCUGUCAAAGCUGGAAUAUCUUUACCUCUCCCACAUGGAUAUGUACUCAACAGACAUCUCAUGGUUAACUCGUCUACCUCUGUUGGCGCAUCUUGGUAUGAGUUAUAUCAAUCUCAGCUCAAUAGCCGAUUGGCCUCUUGUUGUCAAUAAGAUUCCAUCUUUGGAGUUGCUUGGUCUUUCCGAGUGCUCGCUUUCAAGUGCAAACCAAUCCCUAGCACACCUAAACCUCACAAAUCUUCAAUACCUUGAUCUCUCAGAUAACUACUUUGGUCAUCCAAUUGCAUCCAGUUGGUUUUGGAACAUAACAAGCAUCAAGUACCUCGACCUUUCUGGUACCUCUCUCUAUGGUCCGUUUCCUAAUGAACUAGGAAAUAUGACGUCUCUCCAAGAACUUUAUUUUGGCCCCUAUUCUUCCGAUGGUGACUCACCCACCACAACUGCUAACACGGCCACAAUGACAGUAGACUUGAAAAAUCUAUGUGAUUUGGAAGACCUAUUGCUUGAUGGAAGCCUCUCCUCUGGGAACAUAACAGAGUUUAUAGAUAAACUGCCAAGAUGUUCGUCCAACAGAUUGCAGCGCUUGAGGUUGAGCCGCAACAAUAUGGUUGGAAUUCUACCAAACAGAUUGGGGAACUUAACCAACUUAGCUUUGUUGGACCUUUCUUACAAUAACAUUACUGGAGCUAUACCGCUAGCCAUAAGCAAUCUUUCUUGUUUAGAAACACUUGAUCUUUCUAACAACCUUCUUGCUGGAGCUAUACCGCUAGGGUUGGGAAAUUGCACUAGUUUGCAAUAUGUUUCUCUCACCAGUAACAGUCUCAAUGGACCUAUACAACCAGGGAUACAAAACUGCAAUAGAUUACAGGACCUUUUGCUUUCUUACAAUAGCAUUACUGGAGCUAUACCACCAAUGUUGGUAAACUGCACCAGUUUAGAAACACUUGAUCUUUCUAACAACCAUCUUACUGGAGUUAUGCCACCAGGACUGGGAAAUUGCACUAGUUUGCAAUAUUUUUCUCUUUCGAACAACCAUCUUACUGGAACUAUAUCACCAGGGACAGUGAGUUGCACUACAUUAAAUGACCUUGACCUUUCUUACAACAAUCUUACUGGAGAUAUACCACCAUGGCUGGGGAAUUGCACUAAUUUGCAGUCCCUUUCUCUUUCUAAAAACCUUCUCACUGGACAUGUCCCAUCUGAGAUUGGUCUGCUCGGCAAUUUGACUAGACUCGAUCUUAGCAACAAUAAUCUAGAUGGUGUGAUAAGGGAGGAACACCUGGUUGCUCUAAAGAACUUAGAACACCUGGAUCUAUCACACAAUUCUUUCUCAGGGCAUCUGCCAUCAGAGUUUGGAGCUACCGGAUUAUUAGAAUUGACAUUAUCCUCCAAUUACUUCAGUGGGCAUAUUCCUGAAUAUAUUUGUAUGUUCUGGAACCUAGUUGUCUUGGAUUUAUCAGACAACCUUUUCAUGGGUGGACUUCCUCGAUGUUCUCGAAAGCCUAACCUGGUUUUCCUGAUUUUAAAUCACAAUAAUUUUUCUGGCAAGUUCCCAUCAUCACUGAAGAACUACUCGAGUUUGGCAUUCAUGGAUCUUUCAAUGAAUAGUUUCUAUGGAACAUUACCAUCAUGGAUCGGAGAUUUAGUAUAUUUGCGCUUUCUGCAGCUAAGUCACAAUUUCUUGUGUGGAGAUAUUCCAGUGACUAUCACAAAUCUUAAACGUCUUCGUCAACUGAGUUUAGCAGGAAACAGUAUAUCUGGUGUUAUUCCUUUUUCUUUGUCAAAUUUAACAGCAAUGACCCAGAAACAUCCAAAGAAACCUGGGGUCGACAUGUUUGUAUGGUACACCAGCCGUGUGGGUAAAUUUAGAGAAGUUUGGUCUAUAGUGAUGAAGCGUCAGGAACUUAAGUAUGGUGCUAGAAUUUUUGAUGUGAUCAGUAUGGACCUGUCGCUCAACAAUCUAACAGGUGAAAUUCCAGAUGGGAUAACCUCUCUCAAUGGACUAUUGAAUCUAAACUUAUCAUGGAACCAAUUGAGUGGAAAAAUUCCAGAUAGGAUUGGAGCUAUGGAAUCACUUGAAUCGCUCGACCUCUCAAGGAACAACCUUUCUGGUGAAAUCCCAACAAGCUUGACAGAUUUGACUUAUUUAAGCUCCUUGGACCUGUAA